rfam:Oryza rufipogon genomic scaffold, chr04
AAAAAGACAAACCCUGAGUUUCCGUGUCUAAUAUUUGACUAUCCGUUUUAUAUAAUUUUUCUUUAUAAUUAGUAUUUUCAUUGUUGUUAGAUGAUAAAAUAUAAUUAAUACUUUAUACGUGAUUUGUCUUUUUGAUUUUUUUAAUAAUUUUUUCAAAUAAGACGGACGGUCAAACGUUGUACACGGAAACCCAGGGUUUGUAUUAUU